UUUGCCCUAGGCCGAGCGCUUACCCCUUAAGCUAUGGGGUGGCGUGGUAUUCCACGAGAGAGGGUAUUGUGGCACACGUCCAUACGUGUGAUGGGCAUACAUCAAAAUUUGUCAUUCUGGCACCUCUUCUGUUACCAGUAGCAGCAGUUAGGGGAGCCUGUUUGGAUGAUACAUAU
rnacentral:snoRNA from 1 species